rnacentral:lncRNA from 1 species
GGAAACCGAAAACUCGGCGGCCAAGGCUCCGUGCCCCGCGCGCAGCGCUGCUUCUGCCCCGGCCAAGGACGCCCGGGCCAGCCGGCGGAACCAGAGGUUUUCAGUGACGUUCAGAGUCAACAGGAAAUUAAUCAGCAAGUAGAAAAUUGAAAGAAGAUCUGCAUCUUACUGCAGGAGUCAUUAAAAUAAAAGCAGAUUUGGCAAAAUGGCAAGAAUCAGAGGAUGAGGAUGUAAAACAAAAACUUUUGGAGUCAUUUUGCCACCAGGAUGAAAAUAGGAUGAAGCUGACAUGACAAAGGUGCAGGUGUUCUGAUAUGAGAAGAACUUCUUCAGAAGGUAUCUUAAUGCAUAUGGGGAAACUGAGGCCCAGUUGUCAUAGCCUUCUCCAGCAUGUGUUCCUUCUAUAUUUCAGACAUGGCAUAGGAGACACAGCAAUAACUAAGGGGCAACUAUUGCAUCCAGGAAAAAAAAAAAAGAAGAUAAUGACUUCUCUGCAACUAAGAUGAAGAUCCACUGAACUUUGGGGUUUGAAAUGCAACGUUAGAACUUCAGACUCCCGGCACCUAGGUCUCCAGCUUCUGGGUGGUGCCAGCAUCAGAGAUACACUCUGCAAAACAUAUACUGUCUUAGGAAAAAGUGACCCUGUUGUCCUUUCAGGCCCAUAUUCCACAGAAGACAAAUGGAGAUGUAAAAGGAAAACUGCAGCUCUGAGUUAAGAGAGAGCAAGUUGUCUGUUCUAAUACAGCCAGGAAAUAAGAUGUUCUGGUUAAUAUGUGCUAAAGAUGUGGUGCUGACUUUCCGACUCAGAAUAUGAUCACAUGUUUUUCUCAUUAAAACUAUAUUGAAUGU